UUUUUUGUCUCCCUCUUCUCUCUCCUAUUUUAUCAUCUGAACUCCUCUCUCUAUUUCUUAAGACGUUGAACCAACGCUGACAUCUCCCAUAGAACAUAUUCAAGCUAGGCCUGUAUAGUAAUUACAAACUCUUUACCCUCACACUCUCUCCCCCUGGCUUAAAAAUUAUAGAGUAUGAUUGAGUAGGCAAAUUAAAGGUAUGACAUGCGAAACCUUGUAGUGACAGUUUGUGGGUUAUGGUUACUUUUGUUAGCUAUGUAGGUUUACUGUCCUCAUAGAUUGUUUUGUUUAUAAAGAUAAUACUGGGCAACUCUUCGAAGCUUCUGGGUUGCAGCCUUUUCCAUGUUAAGUUGCCUGACUCUUUUUUCUGGGUUUUGUUUUUGUGUAAUUUUUAAUUGAAAAACCUUUUUCUUUUUGUUUGGUGUCAGUUAUAAUGUUGGAUUAGAAGCCUGGCUGCAUAUUCUUUUAUGUUAUUUUUUUCCCAUGUAUUUUUUCCCUCAAUGUUGUGGCUGUAUGUAGUAAAAGUUGUGAAUUUGUUGUUUUAUGUUUCAUGCUGGAUGUCGUAGUUUAUCUGAGUUUGCGACUGAUGGUUGUCUUGCCACUUAUACUCGACCAUCACUUUUUAAUAGAACAUCAAAUCAGGGUCAGCAAAACUAAAAGUUCAUUGGCAUGCUCUGUGAAGUUCCAUCAACUUCAUUAAUGUCUGUGUUUUGGCAGAAGGGGUGGGCAAAAUCGAGGGCCUUUUGGACCUAAUCAGGCUACAGGUUCAGGUAAAUGACUUCUCUCCAAUGUCUGAUGCUAGUGAUAGGUGUGAGCCUAGCUUGCAUACCUUGAUUUCAGCAGAGUCUACUUAUUUAUUGAUCAUUUUAUUGGCAUAACUCGACCUUUCUAAACCUUGCUGGGUUGUUUGUUGAUAUGCAUUUUCGCACCAUCUUGAAGGGUUGAGACUGGUGGUUCUGCAUUGAUUGACGAGGCCACAGGUUCAGAGGCUAAUGGUCUUGCAUUGAUUGCUUUGCCGUGUCCAAAGUGCAGCUGACUUUGGAAAAGAUCACGGGACCAACGCCAAACUACGUUAAAAGUGAUAAUUUAAACCGAAAACAGGAUAAAACUGGGGCAUUCCGAGAAUCGAACUCGGGACCUCUCGCACCCAAAGCGAGAAUCAUACCACUAGACCAAAUGCCCGUACGAUGCUCAGGUUAGUUAUUAUAAUUUUAAUUAAAUUUCUACAUAUUUCG